GACGUAGGUGGCGAGCGUUAUCCGGAUUUACUGGGCGUAAAGGGUGUGCAGGCGGGUACUCAAGUGGUGCAUGAAAGCUCUCGGCUUAACCGGGAAAUGGUGUGCCAGACUGAGAACCUAGAGGAUGGGAGAGGGACGUGGAAUUCCGGGUGUAGUGGUAAAAUGCGUGGAGAUCCGGAGGAACACCAGAGGCGAAGGCGGCGUCCUGGCCCAUAUCUGACGCUCAUACACGACAGCAUGGGGAGCGAACGGG
rnacentral:rRNA from 1 species